UAAUAAUGCAAAUAAAAUAAAACAGUUUGUUAAUUGCAUAGAAAUGAAACAAAAAAUAAAUAAAGGUGGGCAUGGGUACAAUUGUGCCAUGUUUAACUGUUUAAAUAUAUCGGGACGACUAUCAGGGCUAAGCUUUUUUCGUUUCCCGAAAGAUGCAGAAAGGUGAAAAUGUAAAUUAUGGUUAAGAAACUGUGGACGUACAAUUCCAGUUCCAAUGGAAAACUUAUAUAAAAAUUAUCGAAUUUGUGGAAAUCAUUUUGAUUCUUCAAUGUUUCUAAAUGAUUUGAAGAAUCGCCUCCAAUCACAUGCAGUUCCAAAAUCAAUGGAUCUACAAAAAGAAACUGAUUCAAUACAUGUCACAGCCUUAAUUUUAGACAAUCACGUAUCUUCUUUAUGUAAUGAUCAGGAUGCAAAAAUUAUAAAUGAAGACAAUCAAAAGAAUAAAGAAGUACAAACUGAACAACUAUCAGUUACAUAUGAUAAGAAAAUACAAACUGAUUGCAAAUUGUCUAAAAAUUCACCAAGAAAAAUAAUAUUGAAAAAGAAAAUUAACUUAUUACAUAAAAAAAUUACAGAAAAUUAAGAAGCAAUUAAUUCAUCAGAAAGGAAGUUAUAUACGUACAAAGAGAAAGAAAGAGCUUUCUGUUUCAGAAUAUUGUGAUAUUAAUAAAUAUAAAACAAU
rnacentral:misc_RNA from 1 species